UGAACGCUGGCGGCAGGCCUAACACAUGCAAGUCGAGCGGUANCACAGAGAGCUUGCUCUCGGGUGACGAGCGGCGGACGGGUGAGUAAUGUCUGGGAAACUGCCUGAUGGAGGGGGAUAACUACUGGAAACGGUAGCUAAUACCGCAUAACGUCGCAAGACCAAAGUGGGGGACCUUCGGGCCUCAUGCCAUCAGAUGUGCCCAGAUGGGAUUAGCUAGUAGGUGGGGUAAUGGCUCACCUAGGCGACGAUCCCUAGCUGGUCUGAGAGGAUGACCAGCCACACUGGAACUGAGACACGGUCCAGACUCCUACGGGAGGCAGCAGUGGGGAAUAUUGCACAAUGGGCGCAAGCCUGAUGCAGCCAUGCCGCGUGUAUGAAGAAGGCCUUCGGGUUGUAAAGUACUUUCAGCGAGGAGGAAGGCGUUAAGGUUAAUAACCUUAGCGAUUGACGUUACUCGCAGAAGAAGCACCGGCUAACUCCGUGCCAGCAGCCGCGGUAAUACGGAGGGUGCAAGCGUUAAUCGGAAUUACUGGGCGUAAAGCGCACGCAGGCGGUCUGUCAAGUCGGAUGUGAAAUCCCCGGGCUCAACCUGGGAACUGCAUUCGAAACUGGCAGGCUAGAGUCUUGUAGAGGGGGGUAGAAUUCCAGGUGUAGCGGUGAAAUGCGUAGAGAUCUGGAGGAAUACCGGUGGCGAAGGCGGCCCCCUGGACAAAGACUGACGCUCAGGUGCGAAAGCGUGGGGAGCAAACAGGAUUAGAUACCCUGGUAGUCCACGCCGUAAACGAUGUCGACUUGGAGGUUGUGCCCUUGAGGCGUGGCUUCCGGAGCUAACGCGUUAAGUCGACCGCCUGGGGAGUACGGCCGCAAGGUUAAAACUCAAAUGAAUUGACGGGGGCCCGCACAAGCGGUGGAGCAUGUGGUUUAAUUCGAUGCAACGCGAAGAACCUUACCUACUCUUGACAUCCAGAGAACUUAGCAGAGAUGCUUUGGUGCCUUCGGGAACUCUGAGACAGGUGCUGCAUGGCUGUCGUCAGCUCGUGUUGUGAAAUGUUGGGUUAAGUCCCGCAACGAGCGCAACCCUUAUCCUUUGUUGCCAGCGGUUAGGCCGGGAACUCAAAGGAGACUGCCAGUGAUAAACUGGAGGAAGGUGGGGAUGACGUCAAGUCAUCAUGGCCCUUACGAGUAGGGCUACACACGUGCUACAAUGGCAUAUACAAAGAGAAGCGACCUCGCGAGAGCAAGCGGACCUCAUAAAGUAUGUCGUAGUCCGGAUUGGAGUCUGCAACUCGACUCCAUGAAGUCGGAAUCGCUAGUAAUCGUAGAUCAGAAUGCUACGGUGAAUACGUUCCCGGGCCUUGUACACACCGCCCGUCACACCAUGGGAGUGGGUUGCAAAAGAAGUAGGUAGCUUAACCUUCGGGAGGGCGCUUACCACUUUGUGAUUCAUGACUGGGGUGAAGUCGUAACAAGGUAACCGUAGGGGAACCUGCGGCUGGAUCACCUCCUUGCU
rnacentral:rRNA from 1 species